AGAUUUUGAGCGUAUUCCCCGCAGAGCAGAGAGGAGGGACGGAGCUGAAACAUGUCGAGGUCCAGCUGAUGAAAACAUGAGCAGUGUCAACUACGGCCCGCUUCAGCCACACUGGAGCAGGUCUGCACAGCAAUGAAAUACACAGCUGUGGAGGGAGAGAGACAGGAAGUGCUGUGUCUUCAGGUGUGUGAUGAUGGACCAUCCAUCAGCAGCUCAGCACAGAGCUUUAGAGACCGGCACCAUCUGGCUCAGUGUCGCUGCCACACGAUGGAUGAUGGAGCUCUGCUGCACCGGUCGCCUGCCUGCUUUUCAAACCCUGACGACACGUGCAGGACAGCGUCCUCACGGACGUUCCAGCGUGGCUGCAGGGAGCCCCUGAGCAGGAGGAUGUCUGAUUACACUGAGUGCUGCUCUACAACAGGGACACCUGAACGUCACAGACACCUGCAGGUCAUGGGAGAAACAGACUUUGUGCUGUUUGGGUCCAACAGCAAACUGCAGAAUAAAACCUGAACAAACAAGAAUUGACCUCAUGUUCUGUCCUUGAGCAAGGCAGCGGUGCACCUGCAGCGCGCUUGUUUCCAGUCGUGCCAUCCAGUCUGUGCUCUGCAUGCUGAUCCAGCUCUUGUUAAAAGCACAGUUUAGCAGCAGCGCUCUGCUAAUGCAUUCUGUGUCACUGCGAGGAAACGAGGACAGCAGCGAAACCUUUCAGAUUUUUAAUUAUGCAUUUGAAGGCUUGAUGCUGCUCAGACCCAUGUGGAUUUCAUUCUCCCUCCACUCCUUUAAUAAGCUGAAGAGUAUGAUGUCACUGUUGUUCUCUCGUGCUUCAUCUGUGGAGGAGACAAGUGGACGCUUGAAUACGAGGAACAACUGGCCAU